rnacentral:rRNA from 1 species
GUCGAACGCUGGCGGCGUGCCUAAUACCUUCAAGUCGACAGCAGCGGCGGAUGGGUGAGUAACGCGUGGGUAACUGCCCGAUGGAGGGGGAUAACUACUGGAAACGGUAUCUACUCCCGCAUACCACCGGAUGUGCCCAGAUGGGAUUAGCUAGUAGGUGGGGUAACGGCUCACGUAGACGACGAUCCCUAGCUGGUCUGAGAGGAUGACCAGCCACACUGGAACUGAGACACGGUCCAGACUCCUACGGGAGGCAGCAGUGGGGAAUAUUGCACAAUGGGCGCAAGCCUGAUGCAGCCAUGCCGCGUGUAUGAAGAAGGCCGUCGGGUUGUAAAGUACUUUCAGCGAGGAGGCGUUACUCGCAGAAGAAGCACCGGCUAACUCCGUGCCAGCAGCCGCGGUAAUAC